rnacentral:tRNA from 1 species
UGUUCUGUGUCUUAGCUGGUCAAAGCGCCUGUCUAACGAUUACGGAGUCAUGGGUUUGAAUCCUAUCAGAACAC